rnacentral:rRNA from 1 species
CCUACGGGUGGCAGCAGUGGGGAAUAUUGCACAAUGGGCGCAAGCCUGAUGCAGCCAUGCCGCGUGUGUGAAGAAGGCCUUCGGGUUGUAAAGCACUUUCAGCGGGGAGGAAGGCGUUAAGGUUAAUAACCUUGUCGAUUGACGUUACCCGCAGAAGAAGCACCGGCUAACUCCGUGCCAGCAGCCGCGGUAAUACGGAGGGUGCAAGCGUUAAUCGGAAUUACUGGGCGUAAAGCGCACGCAGGCGGUCUGUCAAGUCGGAUGUGAAAUCCCCGGGCUCAACCUGGGAACUGCGUUCGAAACUGGCAGGCUAGAGUCUUGUAGAGGGGGGUAGAAUUCCAGGUGUAGCGGUGAAAUGCGUAGAGAUCUGGAGGAAUACCGGUGGCGAAGGCGGCCCUCUGGACAAAGACUGACGCUCAGGUGCGAAAGCGUGGGGAGCAAACAGGAUUAGAUACCCUAGUAGUC